ensembl:snRNA U6 U6 spliceosomal RNA
GUUCUUGCUUGGGAGGCACAUAUACUAAAGUUGGAAUGAUACAGAGAAGAUUAGCAUUGCCCCUGUGCAAGGAUGACACAAAUUCAUGAAGAGUAAGUAUUA